CAAGCAGAUCACCUUAUCGCGACGCUGUCGAGGAAAGUCCGGACACCAUAGCGCAGCAUAGCGGGUAACGCCCGUCCGUUGUAAGACGAGGACAAGUGCAACAGAAAGAAUGUACAGGUAAUGCUGUAGUGAAAUCAGGUAAACUCUAUGCGGUGCAACGCCAUGUAAACCAACUUUUGAGGGUUGCGCGCCCAACGUUGGAGGGUAGGCGGUUGGAGCUAGUGAGUAAUUACUGGCCUAGAUAAAUGAUAAGGCCCGUCUUUUAGACGGUGACAGAAUCCGGCUUAUGAUCUGCUUUUUUA
rnacentral:RNase_P_RNA from 2 species